rnacentral:rRNA from 1 species
AUUGAACGCUGGCGGCAGGCUUAACACAUGCAAGUCGAGCGAGCGGCGGACGGGUGAGUAAUGUCUGUGACACUGCCUGAUGGAGGGGGAUAACUACUGGAAACGGUAGCUAAUACCGCAUACCAUCGGAUGUGCCCAGAUGGGCUUAGCUAGUAGGUGGGGUAAAGGCUCACCUGGGCGACGAUCCCUAGCUGGGCUGAGAGGAUGACCAGCCAGACUGGAACUGAGACACGGUACAGACGCCUACGAGAGGCAGCAGUGGGGAAUAUGGCACAAUGGGCGCAAGCCUGAUGCAGCCAUGCCGCGUGUAUGAAGAAGGCCGUCGGGUUGUAAAGGACGUACAGCGGGGAGGGGUUACGCGCAGAAGAAGCACCGGCUAACUCCGUGCCAGCAGCCGCGGUAAUAC